rnacentral:ncRNA from 1 species
AUUUGUACUUAAUAACAUAUGACAUAACAAUAUUACUUUUUGAUCCUUCGUUAUCAACUCUUCCUAUAAUUGUCAAGCAAAAUUCACCAAAGUGUUGGAUUGUUCAUCCACCAAUAUGGGACAUGAGUUAGGUUUAGACCAUUGUAAAACAUGUU